UAUCUGUCCUCCCGGCCUCAUCACCUCUCAUGGCCACCACUCUUCUCCAUUCCCCAGGCUACACUCUGAAACCUCCUAUCGCUCUCUCUUUCCCGCAGAACUGCUUCUCGGGGUCCCCUCUGCCCGCUCCCCCCUCUUGCAGCUCGCCCCUGUCCACCGGCCGCGGCUCAGGGCCCGGGCAGGGGCGGAGCCUCGGCCCACGUGGCCCAAGCCCGGCGGGGCGGAGGCGAGCCGGCCCCGCCCCCGGCCGGCCCCGCCCCCGGCCCCGCGACCCGCGCUCCCCCCGCGGGCCCUGGGGGCCGCUCGCAGGUGUUCGCUGGCGCCCGGAUGUCUGAGCUCUGGCUCCGCUCUGGCUCCGGCUCCCUCCGCAGCCUGCGGGCGGGGCUCCCAGCCCAUCCGGAGCCUCGCGGCGCCCCCGCCACUCUGCCAGCAGCGCGGCCUCCCAGUUCCCAGCCUCCCAGCCUUCCAGCCUCCCAGCCUCCCAGCCUGGGGGGGCCCCCCCCACCCAGCGCAGUCGCUGACCCGACUGCUCUCCCGCUGCCCCCAGCUGCGCUCGGGCCGAUGCAGCCUCAGCGUGCCCCCACCCCGCUUCCUGCCUAAGCAGCUUUGCCCUGGCCGGGCGGCCGCCCUGCCUCGCAGCCCCGUUCCUUCCUUCCUUCAUUCUUUCAGGCAACUCGCAUUCCUCGAGCGCCUGCGACAUGCCCCGCACAAGGCCAAUCCGACCUUCUGAGUGUGGCCCCAGGCCCGCUGGGGUCCUCCGGGAAGCCUCUGCCCUCCGCCCCAGUCUCCCCCCAGCCCGCCCCACUCGCCUCUCUCAUGGCCUAUUUCACUCACAAUUUGGGAUUUAAUUGUUCCCUGGUUAUUUCUCCUGUUAAGUGUCAGUCAGUGGCAAGGUCAAGGGGUCUCCCUGUGACCAAAACCAGGGAUCAGUCUGAAAGUAGGGUGAGGAGGUGGCCAGAGUUGGAGUUCAGCCAGACGGUGACAGGGUUUGGGGCUAAGCGCGGAUGGGAGCUGGCAGCAGUCUGUGGCCUGGGUUAAUAGACAUGGUGUGAGGGUCAGUCUGAGUAGCAUCAGUGGUCAAAGUUAGUGAGUCAGUCUUUGGGUAGGGCCAGUGGACAGUCCGGAUCAGGGUGCUAGGUUAUUUAUGACAAGGAUUUGGGGGUUAUCUUUGACAAGCAAGAUCAAGGGAGGGGGGUGCCGUAGCGCUCUGAACUCAGAUUCAUGUUACUCCACGGCUGGGGGGCUGACCAGGGCCUCCCCUCUUCCCCACAUAAGCUAUAGAACUGACUCUCCAUCUGCGGACACUCCCUCUCCUCCUCAACAACACCACCCUACUCCAACUUUGUGCCAGAUGUGGGAGGCAGAACUCUCAGUGGGCCACACCACGGUCGGAGGGAGCCCAGAUGGGCAGUAACACUGACCAUGGUAGGGAGGCCUUGGGCUUCCUGCGAGCCCCACCCUGGAGCCGCCCAUGUUUGACAGCUAGGUUGAUGUUCUUCUCUGUACUUUUUGCCAUUUGUUUAUAAAUCUAAAGCUCAUCAGGGACAGAAGGACACAAAUGUGGCCCAGAGAGGGGAAGGAGCCUGCUGAGGCAUAUACAGAAAGUUCAUAGUCAAGAUAGGACUCGAAUCCAAGCCUCUACCUUCCUAUCUAGGGCUCUUUUGUGAUACCUGCUUACCCUGAGCAGGGAUUGUUAUUCCCACUUUAGAGAUGGGGCUUAUGGCCUCACAUAGCUCCUAUAGAGGGACUGCCAGGGGCUGGUAGCACCCCCCCCUUCCCCAUCCACCACCCCCCCCCAUGCACCUUGAGGAUCUGGAAAUGUGAAGUCAGGGAUGGUGAUUCCCUAAAGCCUCCUUGUCAGUGCCACCCAGCCUCCUCCCUCCUGCCCUCAUUAGGAGCAAAUGAAACAAGGGUGGCCAAGCAUGAUUUGGAAGCUGGGGAGGGGAGAGAACACUUUUUAAGAACUGCUGGGGAAAAGCUUAGCUGGGCUCUUAUGGAAACAUAUGGAACUCAUUACCCUAAGUCGAGGUGGUCGCUGGCCUGCCAGCAGUUGGUUAGUUUGGGGCUAAAAGUGUGCUUUGUACGGCAAUAGGGGUACCCAAGGCAUGGCAGACUCCCCAGAAUACCCCGCCUGCUCACCAAUCCAGGUUCUUCCUAACCUUGGUUUUGUUCCCAGCUUAUGCCAUUUUCUAGCAUUAAAAAGGGGGGCAGUGCCUGGGUGGGUCAGUCCGUUAAGUGUGUGCCUUCGGCUCAGGUAUGAUCCCAGGGUCCUGGGAUUGAGCCCCACAUCAGGCUCCCUGCUCAGCUGGGAGCCUGCUUCUCUCUCUCUGCCCCUCCCCCCACUCGUGCUCUCUCUCUCUCUCUCUCUCUCUCUCAAAUAAAUAAAUAAAAUCUUUUUUAAAAAAAUGUUUAAAAAUAAGGGUUUCAAGACACACUAGGGUACUAGACCACUACAGGUCACGCAAGGAGGAGAUGAGGACUCAGAGACCAUCAAGACAGAUGACACCCACCCCCAACACACACACACACCCUGGCUCACACACAUCCCUCCCCCACUGGGGCCCCUGACUGGUCCUGCAGUGGGUCCAGAUGUACGAAGGGUUGAUCCCAGCAUCCAUCGAAGGUUCAUCAGGGUGGGUUCCAAGGAGCCUACAUGUUGGUCCCACAUCUUGUCAAUCGCAUUGUCCGCUCUAGGCUUGACUCCAUAUACAAAGGGAGCAGCAAGAAGGCAUGCAAAAGAGGCUACUCACUCGUGCACAGCAUUUUAGUCUACGUGGUAAUAGGAGACUUGGGAGCUGCCUCCGUUUCACUCCUACAAGGCUCACAGAUAUUAGGGGACCUGCCAAAAGUCACCCCGGAGUAUGUGGCAGAGCCCAGGUCUCUAAUGCAGCCUCCACAUCCAGUGCUGUCGAUGUCUGCAGCUCUUCGAAAACUCCAUACAAACCACUGGGUCACACAGAAUUGGCCUCAGCCGGCCACCCCGGCCCUCCUGCACUUUCUGGGAGUCUGGGAGUCGGACGGAUGCUGGUUGAAAUCCUGACUUCGUGUGUCUCAACUGUGCCGUUACAGUCAUGACAUCCCAGCACUGCUUGCCCUGCACACGUGCCCUUGAGAGCCCUCUGACAGCCCCCCAGGAGCCUCUGAUCAGCAGGACAGCCAGGUGCCUUGAGGCGCAGAGCAGGGACCAAAAGCAGGACUCCGGCCCAGUACCUCCACUCCCAGGCUGUGCCACGUGGGACGAUCUCCCUCACCUCUCUGAACCUCGGGUCUCCUCCCUGGAAUACUGCCAGGAUCCUGCGCCCUGUCCGCAGAGUCGUGGGGAGGAUUUGGUGAGGAACUGGAUGUAAAGCACCUGGAAACCCACCAGCACAUGGCAGAUACUCGGACACUGGUGUGGAUACUGCGGUGUAAAGAUGAAGAAGAGGAACCGCUUAAAUCUGGGGAAGAAGACCGAACAGAAAAACCACUGUAAUGAUAGUGUGACAUUAGGAUGGCCUGAGAUUCCUAACAGAACAUGGGGAGCAGGCAUCAGGAUCAGCUUCCGAGGGAGGGGUGGGUAGAAGCUAUCACCACCCACACCCGUACCAACAUCACCUGGACUCCAAAGACUGAAUGUCUUGCUUAUUUCAAAAGUAUUUUGAGUCUUAUUUUUCAAUGUUAGUAAUUGAUCUGGAUUCUUGAUUUUGCUGUCCCUGGUUUCAGUUCUGUCAGUCUGAAGAGUUCCAGGAUACCCAUUUUUAGAGUGUUGUUUGAGGUCACAGCAUUCUCAAUGACUUGUGUAUCUGAGAAACCUGUAUCUGAGCGCAGACUUUUUCUUCCUGGUGGAAGAGGAAAGAGGACAGGAUAGGCAAACAGGGGGAGCAAGGAGGUCAGAGAGGGAGUCAGAAGUUGUGUAUUUGAUCAGAGCCUAAGGUUGCUGUGUGAAGGGGACUGAAAAUCAGAGGGGCUGGGGGCAGAGGGGUGGCCAGGCCUUGGUGGGGAACUUCUUGCCGGAUCUUAAGCUAGAGAGUGAUAAAAUCAGGUGUGCGGUUUUUUGUUUUUUUAAAGAUUUUAUUUAUUUAUUUUAGAGAGCACGCACACAUGAGCAGAGGUGGGGCAGAGGGCGAGAAUCCCCAAGCAGACUCCCUUCCCAGCAGGGAGCCUGGUGUGGGGCUCGAUCUCAUGAUCCAUGACAUAAUGACUCAUGAAAUCACCACCCGAGCCAAAGCCAGGAGUCAGUUAUCUAGCCAACUGAGCCACCCAAGUGCCCCAGUUUUUUUUUUUUAAGAUUAAUAUGAUAUUGAAAAAGCAAUUAUCUUUUUUAAAAAGAUUUUAUUUAAUUAUUUAUUUGA